GGGGCAGCAGAGGAGCGGCUCAGCUGGAAAGGCUGAGCGCAGAGCCCGGUCCUGCUGGAGCAGUGGGGCUGAGGCUCAUUUGUCGGUAAUUCCGGUUUUUGCUUUUGACAUCGCCUUGAGGCAGGGAGAAGUUAUUGGCUACUCGAAACAAAAAUAGGCUAGGAAUUAAUUUCAAGAAUAUUUCCCUGCUUUUGUGUCUCAACAAGAAGCUCGCUGGGGAUGCCCAAGCUGCUGUUAAUAACAAGGAUGCUGGAAAGUGACCACGAGUGUGGGUUUACUCUGCAGCUGACAAAGCAGGGUUAUAUACUUAAUAGCUAUAUACCUAUAGUGGUUCCCGUAAGCAGUUUAUUAGGCCCCUCCAGACUUUGAGGAUGCUCCAGGGAAAUUGCCUACACGGCCCCAUGGCUAUACAUUGCCUGUUCAUCUGCUGAUCCAUGGGAUGCAAUUAUUCCUCCAGCCUCACAGAAAACGCUCUCCUAAUUCAGUGCUGUGGCAGUAAGUGUGGAAUGAAAGAUGACUUUCAGCCACUUCAGGAGCUUGCUGCUGCCUCCUCUUAGGAGUCCCCAAGGAAUCCUGCAUGUCUGCAAGGGAGCCAGCUCGUCACUCAAAUCACUUAUUUGAGAUACAGACCCACCCACUCUAGCGAUGGUAAUUCUGGGCAGAGUCAGCUGGGAGGUAAUUUGGUCCCAAGGCCCAUCCUUUUGCUGCUGGGGAUUCUCCAUGGAUGCUGUGAUUGCAGCAUAUGGGGGUGGGGGAACUCACAGAUUCCAAUUUGUGCUGGCCAAAUUACACAAGCUGUGUUUCCAGUACCUGUGUUCUCAUGUUUUCUUUGCCCUUCUGUACUGAAAACCUUGUUUAGUUAACAAAAUCAAUUAUAAGCUGAGGCUGUUCUUGGACUUUUAGUAAAUGUAAAAUUUAACUGCUAGGAUGAGAAAUAUUUGAGUGGUGGAUUUAGUGCCAUGAUACAAGUAAGGCAAGGUUUGUAGUGAGAGGUAAUGCCUUUUUUUAGGCUGGCUGAUAAGUUACUUUGUUGUUUUUCCUGAUCCUGUUUGUUGGCCGAAUAAAAGCUCCCACCUCACCUCAGACUUUUUUUGGUGGCAUGCUUAUCUGAGCAACAGAAGUCAAAGAUAUUAGCCUAGUGCAAAUGUUCAUGUUUCCACACUGCAGACUAUGAAACAAACUCCAUGUUAAUUUGUAUAAAACUAGUUUAUUUAUUGUCUUGCUUAUAUUGCUUUUUUAAUCUAAUUUGUGACCUUAGGAAAAAAAUUAAGUUCAUUCAUUUAUACUGGGUAAUCUUUUGAAAGUACAUCAUUGUACUUUCAACAGCUUGGCAACAAAUAAGUGAGAUUACAGCAGUGACUGACUGAGAAUGACAAGUAACCAAUAGCCUGGCUGCAGAUGCAAAAUGUGAAAUUUGGCCUUGAGAGGUAGUACAUGGAUAAAUUAGACUACAGCUGUAAGCAGGAGAAAACUGUUUAGCUGUACUGCCAAAACUCGAGUUUUCCCAGUGAUGCCCGGUCCCUGAACAAAGUCAACCAUCUGUCGUGCUUCAUGGUAAAAAGCAACACAAAAUACCUAUCCAGUCUGCAGCUUCCUAGUAGUCCCAACAUGUAUAAUGUAUGAAAACAAGAAGGUUCACUGCUUGAAAUGCAAAUAUUACAAGUCAUAUAUACAUUUUCCCUAGUUUAUUUGACUGUGUAGGGCGAGGCCUAUUUAAAGUUCAUCCUACCUUAGCUUAUUUAUGCAUGGAAAGUCCUUGACGAGUUCUUCAGGGAGGAGACACCAGCGAAGGCUGGGAGAUGCCUGAGAGUUUCCUCAGCCCUUGCCAGGCUGUUGACAUUGUCCCGGGAUCGUUUAUUCCCAAAAACUGGUAGGAUUUAAUUCACCUUUUCUGUUCUUGCAAUAACUAGCAGAGCAAAGUGGAAAUAUAUUUUAAUUUACUAAAGCAAGAUGUGAGGUACUAACAAAAGCCCAGUGUCUGGGAGGACACUGGUGGGAACAGUAGGGAGAUUGUUUGCAGUGUUCACUUCCAAACUGCUUCAGCAAAUGUUUCCUUGAUCAGUACAGUCUGCUCCUAUCUGCAGUCACUGUGGCUGCUGGUACUGCACACCUGGAAGGUCCCUCCUGUUGCCUUAGCCCUCAUUAAAGCUGUGCCUUUUUCAGGGCUGUGACUCUUAACAACAAACACUGACUUGUGGCACUUUGCAGGGGUGGAUGUGAUCCCUGAACUUAGCUGCCCUGUCUCAUAAGACUCCUGGGACUCUCUGCAGUUUUGGCUCACUGGGUGGCAUUUCUCUUAAGCCCUAACCAGCUGGAAGUUGGACCUUCUCAGCUGGUUAUGUAGACUUCCCUGCAGCCGUGACUUUUCCCUGGGUUUGAUGGUUGUUUGCAAUACAUGAGAAUGUGAAAUGCUUAGUGCCAGGGUAGGAAGGCACUCUCAUUUGCUGUGAGAGAAUUAGGCUCAAUUUCAGCCUCUACUGUAACUCUGCAGACACAGAAAAAGGUUUGAGGCCAGCAAUGAGAACACUGCAGACUACAGUGUAAGCCCUGCAGCUACCGAGGUGGCAGGACUAGCAGGGGGGAGACAGAGGUCACCCCGAUUUCCUUUUGACAGGGUCAGCAAACACUAAUCCUUCUCUGCCAGGGGAAGGUUGCUCUGUUGGCUCACAGGGAGCCCUUGGUUAUGUUAGCCCAUGUUUAUGCACUGAACACAGUACGAGAGCACAUAAAAGAGCAGUGUUGUCAGCUGAGCCCCCCCUGCCUUAUACAAACACUGCCUUGUUUCGCCAGCUUGGCUCAUCGUUUUUGUUUCAUUUUGGUAGGGUAAACUCCUUUUCUUAUUCUUCUGUGGUGUUGGUAGAAGACUGUGUUCCAUCUAUUAGUUGCAUGUAAUACUUGUUCACUGUGUGUGCCUUAGAAACCUCCAGGUUUGUAUAUCUGCACCAUCCCAGGUGAAGACUGCAAGAGGCAAUUCCUCCCCAUCACUGCUAUUCCGAACUCAACCUGAUCUGCUUACCCACAUUCCUGGUUUUCUUACUGAAUUCAGAUUGAAUAUCAAGUGCUUAUGCACUGGUAAAACUAUUUGUUAUUAUUGAGUCCAUCAGGUUAAUGCUGAAUUAACAAGACAAUUAAGUGAAAAAAAACCCUUGGGUAUGAUUGCUCAUGUAGGCCCAAAGAGCAUUUUGCUGUGGAAAAAGAACAAUUCUACUAAAUCUCAGUUUCUGUUAAUCUACAAAAGAAACUUGUCAGAUGAUUGCAGUUUUUGAUUGUUGCUUCAUUCCCUUGGCCUUCCUCAUCCCACCAACUUGAAUUCACUAUUAAAUGUCACUAAAUAAUCUCUAGAAAUCCAAGUGCUGAUAUUUGCAAACCUGUCCAUGCAGAGAGGUCAUUGCUUUUCAUUGUAAAGGAUGCAAAUGUGGAGCAGAAGGUAAAUCUAGUCCUUUCUCCCUGAGAAAAAUAUUUCCGAGGUCAAGGAGAGAAUUUUUGUAUGCAGAACUUACAAAUAAUACUCAUAAUUUUGUUGUAGUCAUGCUAACUGUUUUUAAAGAACCAUUGAAGUGGUAUUGCAAAAAGGAAAAAAAAAACAGUGGAAAGCCCCCAACACCCAUUCCUGUAGGGGCUGACUCUUCAAGGGCUGCCUGGCUACAGUCUCCCUGUCACUGCUGUGCCACCUUGGACGUGUCUAUAGUGUGCUGAGUUUGUUUGUAAAGAGAUGGGAAGUGCUUCAGGGUAGAAGCUUUGUGUGUGUGUGUGUGUGUGUGUGUCUGUGUGUGUAGCUAUGCAGUCUGGAUCAAACUCUCUUUGAUUUUAAGUUGUGCUAAUAAUUAACCCUCAGCUUGUAGUAACUAUCCAGCAUAAUGAUAACCACACUGCUGGCUCCUGUCCACAAGGUUAUUGGGUAUGUACUGCAGAGCAUAUCCCUUCCACUCUGUCUGGGAGCUGAUGUUUGUGAAUGUGAAUGGAUGUGAAAGAGUCUAAAUUAGGCACACUUGCCAGUUUCUUUUCCAAAUUCUAAUAAUUUAUAGGCAGAUACCAGUUCAUCUGUCCUUUAACCUGUUAUGUUAGGCUUGAAGAGUAUUGUUCUUGCAGAGACUUCAUUAAAGCUCUUGAGCACACACUGUGGGCUGUGCUCUCUGUUUGUGUUAGCAGUGGUGCUUUUUCAUGUUAAACUGGUUUGACCAUAAACUGUAUGAGAUUAAGUCCACGUCUGUUUCAUCUAGAUUGUUUUCCUUCUCCUGUGUUACGUGAUGGUGGGUAAGCAAAGCAGCAGUUGGGUCUCUGUGUUGCUAAUCAGCCUUUCUGUCCAAUUCCUUGAGGUAUGAAUGAUACAAGCAGGCAGCGAGUGUGGUUAUUGCUGCCAGUCACUGAUGCUUUGGCAGCUCACACAGAAAAUGUUACUAAGAGGUGCAGGAAUUAACAGAACUUUUGUUUAUGCUUAAAAUAUCAUUUGCUUUAAAUUUCGUCUGCUUCUUCUUGUCAGAUGCUUUGCCCUAACUGCAUUUCCUCAGCUGAUUGCCAUCAAAGCUGAAAUCCUGGCACAGGUGAUGCGGCUGCCGAUCUCCACGGCUGAUUCUCAUCCUGGUGGCUGAAACCCAGCAGUGAGAAACUUCUCUGCAAACCAAAGGGAGCUCACACAGCCUGGGAAGGGGAGCAGAAAACAUGCCCUCCCCCCUGUCUGCCCCUGCCCCGAGUGCUGACCCUGCACAGUGACCCUGUGUGGUGACCCUGCAUCUCACCUCGCACACCAGCCAUCCUGACUCCCACCAAGCUGAUUUACAGCCUCUCCUUAAGUGCAUGUGUGAAGGAAAGGGAAACUGAGCUGUAGUUAAUCUCAUGUUUCUAAGCAACCAGUCUGUCUAAGGGUGGGACCAUACAAGGUCAUGCAAAAAAGACUGUAAAUUGAUGUCAGGUAUGGUAACAAUCAUCUACUUAUCUGCAGUGCUGGAAGUCCUACUGUAGGAAAAAAGAAAAACCAAACCCAAGCCUCUUGCCUUGCCACUGCUAUGCAAGCAUGAAAAGCAAAGGUUUCUCACUUUUUCUCUACCUCCCAGGGCCUUUUUUCUGAAGUGGUCUUUUGCUUCAGCCUAGAACAUGUCAGUGUGCCUUCAGUCCAAGUUCUCUCUGGCAUGUCCCACAGCUGAGACUCAUCCACUGCAGUAUAGGAGAAUGUGCUGGAGGCAUGUACUCACACAAAGGAUUGCCCAGCCAAGUAUCUCUCUCUGACAGUGCCAAAGGGGGUAUCUAGUUAGUAUAAGAAAAGGGCAAGAGUUUUCACAAUUUCCUCGUCUAGUUGCAACCAUUUGCAAAACAGGGACUUUCAGAGCCAGGAGGGAAUUUGGUGGUGAACAACAUGGGUGAAUUUCCCUUCUGCGACUGUGCCUUCCCUUAAGCUCUCACUAAAUGUAUUGAAUCCUCAGUGUCUGGCUAUGAUGACUUCAACAGUGAACUAUGUGAAGAGGCAGUUCCCUUAGUUUUGUUUUUAAACCUGUGCCCUGGUGUUUUCAUUUGAUCUUCCGUAGUUCUUUUGCUGGGAGAGACAGCAAAUUAGUGUCUCGGUGCCACUCAUGAGAUACCUCACACAAAGAGAAAAAAUUAUUCUGUCAAAUCCUAAGUCUUUGCUUCUUCUAAGAUCAAAUAAUCUUACUCUUGCCACCACUCUUGUAUCAAAAGAUAAAAGAAUUGUUUGUCACCAAAAAUAUCCAUCUGCCAGGUAAGUAGUGACAAGAGAUUAGCAUGAUGUGUUCCAGCACCACUGUUCUGGUAGAGCAUAAAGAUGACACGGCAAAGGCUGGUAUCACCCAUUGACGGCUUUUCAGAGCCAGCUCUUUCUAGGCAGAGACACAAGACAGCAAUUACACUCUGCCAAACCCACUGCAACAUGGAGAUCUUGUUAGGAAACAUGCCAGGACCAGCGCUGCCUUCUAGCUGUAGGUGGAUAUUGGCAAGAAGUUCAAUGCAGGGUAACCAGAAGGAAUGUUGGAAAUACGCAGCUCCUUCUUGCACUCUAGAAGUGAAAUAUUCACCAGCAUUUAUGCUUUAUCCAUGAGGAAACUGGGACUAAUGCUUACAUUAGUGCCUGGGUAAGGAGGGAAACCACACACCAUGGUGACUUCAUAGAUUUCCUCCACUGGUUCCCAGGAGCUCCUGGGAAAUGUGUAAUUCAUCAUAGCUUUACUGGUCCAGCUCUGGAAGUGAUUAGUGCUCCAGUGUGCCAGGCAUGAUAUGAAGUCAGCAUACAGUCCCUUUCCUGGAAUGCUCUGGUACCUGGCUGAGCACCAGCUGCCUCAGACUGGAAGAGUCAUUAGUCGUGCAUCUCUAUUUUUAUGCCAGAGGUUAAAAAUGUUUUAGGGCUACUGCUAAAGUAUGAGAUGAGGACUUGCAUGCGUUGACUUUUGGAAGUAACUUGAACCACAGGUUAGGUUUGUUACAUAAUGUUAAGUUAUUAAAAAUAGGUGGAUCCUGAGAAAUUCUGGAAUUUGACUAGAGUGGGCAAGUUUGAGGGAUACUAACUCAGCAUUGAUUAGCCCAUCUCUGUACUUGAAGAACAAACUGUUAGUACAAGAUGUGAGUGGAGCAACUGUAUUUAGAAACAUGUUUCCAGGGAAACAUUAGUUUCCCUGGAAGACAACCCUGAAAGAUGAAAAUUUAUGUGACUCUUGGGACAAAUGUUAAGUUUGAAGACUUUUUUUCCCCUUACUUUUUAUAGCAAGUACAUUCUGCUCCAAAUUCAUUCGCUUCAAACGUAUAUGGUAAAACCUAUUUUAACUGUGGAGUUCAGUAUCUCAGUGGAUUUCAUUAAGAAAAGGGCCCACACAAGCUGCAUUUCAAAGAUCCAUCUCUUGCAUAGCAACUCAAAUCAAAUCAGUGCUUUCUAAGCACAUCCUGGCAUACCAUGCAAACUGUGAUUUAAAAGAGCAAGGCUUGAGAUGUAACUUGGCUUCUUAUAUGACAUCAGACAAAUCAAUCAAAUGUAACUUGUUUGCAAAAUCAUUAUAGUGCUAAUUUCUUGUGUUUGACCCUGCAAUUGCAUGGAUCAAUUUUAUGAGUGUCUAAAAAUCCUGAGGAAAAGCGUCAGUUUAUACUAGCAGAAAGUUUUUCCUUGGACUGGCAAUUCCUUCUGAAACCAGAUGAUUUUGUCUCUUAACCCCUUGGCAGCUUCCUUACCAGUGAAGUUCUCUAGAAGACAGCUCUAUCUCACUUAGUGAGCAAAGUUUAUGUUCUUUAUGCAAGGAGAUCCCUGUUGAAAUUGUAAAUACUAUGAACUUGUCUAAGUACUUUUUGUCAUUAUUUUGUAAAUUUUAAUCUGUUCAUAAACUCAAAGUUUUUAUUUCUCUGUAUGUUGUCUGUGACAAAAAUAUGUCCUUUGCUAUAUAAUUGUACUUCUAUACCUGAUUAUGUAUUUUUUAUUUCUUUUUAAUGGAGAGAGUGGUCUGAAAGUGUCUAAGUGGAAGGAUUUAUAUAAUUAAGGUUUAAAAUCCUAUGUUUAGU